UAGGGAAUCUUCGGCAAUGGACGAAAGUCUGACCGAGCAACGCCGCGUGAGUGAAGAAGGUUUUCGGAUCGUAAAACUCUGUUGUUAGAGAAGAACAAGGACGUUAGUAACUGAACGUCCCCUGACGGUAUCUAACCAGAAAGCCACGGCUAACUACGUGCCAGCAGCCGCGGUAAUACGUAGGUGGCAAGCGUUGUCCGGGUUUAUUGGGCGUAAAGCGAGCGCAGGCGGUUUCUUAAGUCUGAUGUGAAAGCCCCCGGCUCAACCGGGGAGGGUAAAUGGAAACUGGGAGACCUGAGUGCAGAAGAGGAGAGUGGAAUUCGAUGUGUAGCGGUGAGAUGCGUCAAUAUAUGGAGGAACACCAGUGGCGAAGGCGGCUCUCUGGUCUGUUACUGACGCUGUGGCUCGAAAGCGUGGGGAGCAAACAGG
rnacentral:rRNA from 1 species